ensembl:lncRNA
AUGUUGGGGCCCCCAGGGGCGUGUGGCUUGCGCAAGUUUCCACUUGGCCUUGACUUGUCUUUUCGGAGAUUUAUCACACGGUGGAGACCCAUUGUGUCCGGGAGUGGAAAUCAGGAAGGCAGGACGUCUGUCAUCUUCCCACUUGGAUUUGAGGACUCUUGUCUUUCCUGGGGACACGUGAUUGGAUUACUUCAUCCAGCUUGCUCAGCCUCUGCUCUUCUGGGGAAAGAAGUUGUGACACAGGAUUUCCAUCAUUUCUCUAUCACAGUUGCCUCAGGAAGCGGGGAAGGAGGGGGAGCAGCGCUGUGGCCAGAACAUAACCUGAUGACCCCCUUGUGUCUCAGAUCAUCGGGCACUGGGACUAGUGGAGGCUGUCCUUGUAGCACUUGGCGCAGAACCAAGAGGAACACCGUUUCUGCCCUGGCUCUGACACAGCCAGCAUUUGGCCAGGUGCCUACUGUAUGCAUCAGGUACUGCCCUUAGCACUUUCCCCAUGUUAACUCAUUCCAACCUUCACAAUGACCCUGUGAGGUAAAGACUUACUACCGAGGUGUUGUUAGACCCACAACCUGAACUGUCACCCCAGAGAAGAGAAGACUGAGCUGAGCCAGAGCUGGUAGAACCAAGACCACAGUGCUCUGAAGCUUUAACAUGGUCUGGCUGACCCCAGGACUGACCUUCCCCCUGCCUCAUCUCCAUUCAGCUGCCUUGAUAUCUUGAGCUGAGAAGGAGGUGUGUGUUCAGGAUCUCAGUGGCAUCCUACACUGUGUAACAAGUGAAUGUGUGAGUAUGAACACACCGCAUAGGAAAAGGGAGAGAAGCCAGGAGCUCACGCUGGAUCUGAUCAUGUCAGGACAACUGAUUGAAAAAAAUCAGUCAGUGAUUUAGGUAUGGGACUCUGAACCACUGGUUUUGUUUCCACCCUUUGUUCUUCUCCAAAUAGAAUGAUUUUAUCUUGCUAAUAUUAAUAGGUAACCAGCUAUAAUGUUGUCCAGGCAGUGUGCUAAGUUUUUAAGUUGCGUUCUCAUCAAAUCCUUGCAGCAAUUCUACCAGGCAAUGUCUUCAUUGUACAAAGGAGAAAACGAAGGCUUAAAGAGUUAAGUACUUGUACAAAUAGCAGCUGGAUAUUUGAAUUCUGACACAUCUCUCCAGAGGCCACGCUCUCAGACUACACUAACUGUCCCCCACCUAGAUUCUUUUCCUGCACUUCUCUGUGUGCUGAGAAAUGGUGGUCAUGGAACCAGUGCUAGCCGGGAGGGCAUCUCAUGUGUGUAAGCCAUUGCCCCAGUGGUGGGCUUGCAGAGAAAGGACUGGAUACCCAGUGUCAUGUCUACUCAACAGCCAUGCAAGACUGGGUUCUUGAAGCUACAGCUCUUCACUGAUUCCUUGAGCAUCCAUGUGACUCUAGAGUUUAAUUAUGCAAGUGCAAGCUUUGCGCUCAAAUACAUGUGCAGUGUAAUUAGAGGAUAGCUGAUGCCUGAUUCACUGGCCUUACAAAUCUGUAGCUGCCCAGAUUUCAACUGUCAAUACAUGCUGAAGUCCUUUUCGGAUCAAAUUUAAGUUCAGAUAAAGAGUAUGUGCUGGGGACACAAUAAAUAUUUGGAAGGAAGAAAAGAUGGAAGGAAAGAAGUAAGGAAGGAGGAAAGGUAGGGUGGAAGGAUCCUCCAAACAGCUGGGUCCUCUGUAGCCUCACAAGGUUGGCAAGAUAAAUCACAGCUCAGCAUAAAGCCUAUGUCAGUGUUUGAUGUUUAAAAAGUGGGGAGGAGAGGCUCAGCCCACAGCCUCUGUGGACAGGUUUUCUUUCAUCUGCUUUCUAGCCAAAGGAUGUGAAGACAAGCUACAGAAACUGAUGGGUUGCAGCUGAGAUAGGUCAGAUUUUCACUCUAGCUCCCUGAACUGGCCACAGGGCCCCUUCGUUCUCUGAUUUCCAUCGUUCCUCUUUCCUCUGAUGGCUGACUCUCCCCACUGUCACUGCAUCUGACUCUUACUGCCUCCUCAGCACCUGCGGCCCCAUCUCCUCCAAGCUCUGAACUGCACAGGCAUCUUCUGAGAUACAGCCAUGUUUCGGUGCCCAGCCGGCUCUUCCUGCAGGUCUUCCUGCUUUCCUGAUGUCCCUCAGCUCACAACCUCUCUUUUCUAGCAGAGCAUAGACAGGAGCUCAUUUCUGGGUGCCUGGUCAUCAUUUCCUUCUUUAGUUCCAUUUUACAAACCCAGCUGUUGUAUGAAAAACAGGGCAUGCUAACCCUGUCUUCCAUCCACUAGGGCGGAGCUGACAGUUAAAACAAGGCUCUUUCCCAGCAAUUAGACCUCCAUUUCUCAGAAGAGGAAAGAGGGGAAGGGUGAACACACAGAAGGGCUCAUUUUCUGUUUGUCAAAGGAAUAAAUGGAUUAAGGAUCCUUGCAUUUCAAGAUUUCAGAGAUGGAGUCUUUGUAAGACAGUGAGUGCUGACUGAGAGGGAGCUGCACCCCAAUCACAGGGCCACGCACCCAGGGACAGUUUGCACCUAUGUGGAUUGUUUCCCAGCCAAAUGAUAUUCUGACCAUUAACUCAGGCAUUUGGGAUUCCCCAGAGAAACCAGAGUAGCAUCACUUGGGGGACUUUAUUUUUAAAAAUAAAAAUUCAAUUCCUUAAAUAGGCAUUUGGUGAGUUCAUGUUUUUUUAGUGAAACAUGUUGGUAAGAGAUGCAAUAUUUUAAACAGGAAAGACAGUAUGAUAAAAGCAUUCUUGAGCAAGGUGUGGUGGCUCACAUCUGUAAUCCCAACACUUUGGGAGGCCAAGGUGGACAGAUUACUUGAGGUCAGCAUUUCGAGACCAGCCUGGCCAACAUGGCACAACACCAUCUCUACCAAAAAAAAAAAUUAGCUGGGACUGGUGGCGCACGCCUGUAAUCCCAGCUACUUGGGUGGCUGAGGCACGAGAAUUGCUUGAACUUGGGAGGUGGAGGUUACAGUGAGCUGAGAUCAUGCCCCUGCACUCCUGCCUGGGCAACAGAGAGAGACUCUGUCUCAAAAAAAAAAAAAAAAGCAUUCUUAUUUUUGUUUUAACUCAAAUAACCCACUGGCCCACAUGCGUCAAAUGCUACAUAGUUAAACAUCACAAGUACCUAUUCUGCAUAAAAUUUUUACUUACAUAUGCAUCAUAAACAUUUUGCUAUGUUGCUACAAAGACUUUAUGAGCUUAUUUCAAGGACUAUUGGUAGUUUUCCACUAGGUUGAUGCAGCAUCAGGCAUUAAAAUGCUCCCCAGGUGCUGGGUAUUUAGCAAUAACACCACUCCCCACCAAAGAGGCUUGUGUUCCCAAAAUUAAAGCUCUUAGUUCUUUCUGAGAGCAGUUUUAAACUGCCCCCUGGUAUGGCUACUGCACAGACCAUAUUCCCCUUUAAUCACAUGCCUUGGUGCAGGGUACACAUCUAUUAACCACUUUCCCCUUGUGGAAACGCUCCCCCAGGGGAGUCAUUCCCUUGCCCAACCUCAAAGAGAGCCUUGAUCUCAGCCGCUCUGACAGCUUCAGUCGCUUUACGUUUCAGGAAACUGAGUAUCUGUUCUAAUCUCUUUGCUCUCUAAAAGCUUCUGGGGUCCUAAUGCAACUUUUAUCACCCCUAGUUUAACACAUUGUAAGCCCACAUCAAUAAUUUCUCAAACAGAAGCACACAAAUAAUGUUUAUCUUACCAAACACCCUCCCAAGCUUCUUGAGAAUUGCCAGGUCAGAAGCUGAGGACACAUUUACAGAUUUUUGCUAAAUAUUCCUAUUACUCCUUUCCAAAUACUUUCCAAACAGUGUAUCUAUCCAUUUAGUUACUAGCUAUAAACAAAGGUACAGUCAGUCCUCACUUAAGGUUGUCAAUAGGUUCUUGCAAUCUGAAACUAAGUGACACCAAUUUUACCACAAGCGAAUUAAUAUUUCUAUGGUUUAUUUCUAGUCACAAAUACAUCAAACUUCUAAAUAAAAACCAAAGGCCGGCCGCUCAAGCCUGUAAUCCCAGCACUUUGGGAGGCCGAGGCAGGUGAAUCAUGAGGUCAGGAGUUCAAGACCAGCCUGACCAACAUGGUGAAACCCUGUCUCUACUAAAAAUACAAAAAUUAGCCAAACAUGGUGGCACAUGACUGUAGUCCUAACUAUUCAGGAGGCUGAGGCAGGAGAAUCACUUGAACCCAGGAGGCAAAGGUUGCAGUGAGCCAUGAUCGUGCCACUGCACUCCAGCCUGGGCAACAGAGCAAGAUUCCAUCUCCCAAAAAAAAAAAAAACCCAAAACACAUCUGAUAUUAACCAUUGAAAUAAAUAAUAGCUAUACAUACAUUUAAGAAAGAUAAAUAAAAGCAAGUAAGAUAACUUACUCAAUAAUAACAGUUCUCCAGGUUGCCAGAGUCUCCAGUCUCCAGUUGGUGUAGCUCAUUCCAGCAGCUCAAGGCUUAAGGUGAGAACCAGCCCUGAACAGGACACUGUCCCAUGGCAGGGCACAUUCACACACACCCCACACUCACACCAGGACCAUGUAGACACACUGGGGAACCGAACAUGCACAUCUUUGAGGGGUGGGAGAAAACCAGAGCACCUGGAGCAAAAUCCCUGUGGAUGUGGGGAGAGCAUGCAAACCACACAGACAGUGGCCCUGGCAGAGAAUCAAUUUUUUUCUCAUCAUUUAAAAAAAAAAAAAAAAAAAAAAAGGUUGAAUAAAAUGACAUUAUUUGAAGACCUGUUUUCAUUGUUAUGCUACAGACACGAUUGUUUUUGUUUUUGGUAACUAUCAUAUGGCAUCUCAAGCUUUGAGUUUCUUUGACUGCUAGCUAGGGUCAACUUUUUCUCCUGUGUUUGUCAUCUUCCUUC